CCCCCCAGGAAAAGUCCCUUUUUCCUAAAAUUAUACAAACAAUCCAGCGAAGAUUAACAAAUAGAUAAACGGAAAGUAAUUUUAGGCUUUAUCCUUUGUUCUUGUUUAACAAAAUCGAUUUAAAUUGUUACUUUUUUUACCACUAAGCCAUGAUAAAUUAUUGUUAAUAUUUUUUUUAUUUUUUGGAUGCUCAGAAUGCAGGAAAUAGCAUUUCACGGUUUCAAAUUUCAAAAAUUUUCUUGGGAUUAUCCCUCCGAAUAAGUAAUGAUAAAUUACAGUUAAUAUUCUUUUUUACUUUUUGUGCAUUUUUCCAUCUUUUAUUUCAAAUACAACUAUAGUUAGCAUAAAUUUUAGAGCAAAUUUGGAUGCUCAGAAUGCAGGAAAUGGCAUUUCCGUGGUUCAAAUUUCAAAAAUGUUCUGGGGGAGUACACCCCCACACACCUGACCAUUGCUAUCCUCCUCUAAUAAGUAAUGAUAAAUGAUGGUUAUUUUUUUUUUACUUUUUGUGUGUUUCUUCCUUUAUUUAUUUGAAAUACAAGUAUAGUUAGGAUAAAUUUUGGAGCAAAUUUGGAUGCUCAGAAUGCAGGAAAUGACAUUUCCGGGAGUCAAAUUUCAAAAAUUUUCUGGGGGAGUACACCCCCAGACCCCCCAUUCAUGCGCGGUAUAUUUGCCACACACGUGGCUUUCAGCCAUUGCUAUCCCCCUCUAAUAUAUUAUCUCACAGAAAGGUCCCUUUUCAAAAAAUGCCCCCCCACGGGAAAAUCCUUAAAAAAGGCCCUGCAGAGAAUCAGAGAAAAACUGUACUUGACCCGGCGUUUGCCGCGACUGGGAAUCGAUUCCGCUAGUCAACUGGUCAUCGCAUGUCUACACUGUGCCACAGUCCCUUCAGGGGAUCUGUUGGGGUCACAGAAGCGAAGCUAGAUGUCGAGCGGCUUGUCGGCGGGAGAACGAGCGGAAAUGAAAGGGAAGGGAAAAAGGCUCUGUGGACAUUCUACUCAUAAAAUGGGUACACCGCGUUGUUGAGACAACGCAUGUUUUCCACUGGCUGGAAGAUGAAUUAAUUGACAAACCCUUCAUAUGGCAGAAUCAUGCACCGAGGAUGGUUGAGACGAAUGUUUCCGACAAUUUCUCAUUGUUUCAUUGUUAAAGCGUGACCAAAAGGAAAGUGUACUUAGUGUGCUGUUCAGUAUUGAAGUAUUGGCUGUGUUUCCAAUAAGAUUUGAAAAGAGCAUAAUUUAUCAGUUGUUUGUGAUGCCACUAAAAGUCGCUUAAUCAGCGAUGUCAACAAGAGGGCCGUGGCGUUUGUAACAUCACAUUAAAAAGCAUUGGGCAUAGUCUUUCAAAACAUGGAUUGGAAACUCCGCUAAAGUCUUAGCCUGCUCGCAGGCCGUUGUCAGGCAGAGGCUGCAUGGGAGGAACGGCCUGCGACCUUUAUUAGUAAAAAGUCGAUUUAUGCGUACGGAGCGUACGCAAAAUUCCCAUUGGUCAGAAGUGCCCCAUGAGUUAAUAUCGUGCAAAUAUUUAACUCGUACGACAUUUCGCAAUGUAAUUUUAAAGCUGGCAUUCAAUCAGUGGCGUAUAAAACCAUGACUUUGUUUAUCUCUUCGAAGAAGUAACUGAAUGUAUUUGAAACUUUCAAUUUAAAUUAACGUUGAAGGAUGAGCGAAGGUUAGCAAUAUUAACUGUACUUCCAACGGGAUUUGAUAAAAGUUUACAUGUAAUAUACCGAUACUUUGUCUUCGUCAGCUAUAAUAAUAAACCUUUUCCAAAGAAGUACCAGGGAAAACUUCGACGUAUGCCUUGCUGAUCUUUGCAGAGAGAGUAAAAUAAGUCUAGUUCAGGCUGACAAUUUAUCUAACCGCGUUUACAUCACUUGCGGUUUCAAACGUUGAACAACUUAAGGUUAUGUAAACGUUCUCUGGUUAAAAAAGAUUUAUUUAUUAACAAGCUUUCGACUGCCAGUCUGCAGUCUUCGACGGGUAGAUUUAUAAUGUGCUAGUGAUAUAAGAUAUGAUACAGAGUGAAUAGUGCUAUAUAAGAGCGGUUUACAAUUACAUUUACUAACAAAAGACAAUUACUGAACAGUUCCGCCUACGUAAAUAUAUUGUGUAGAAUUUAAAGUUUUUUGAGCAAAAAGCGAUAUUGUUCUGGCAAAUGUUUUGAGUUGUUAUCAGCGUCUUUCAUGCAUGCAGUGUGCCAAGACUCUAACGUCGAUCUGUGUCGAUAGCUUCCCUUGUCAAUUAUUUUUCCGUUCUUAAAAUUCGAGUGCGCGGUGUGUGAAAUUGAGGUGACGGUGAUGUGCUUCGAGUUUGUAAAUGGAUUUUUCUAAGGAUCUUGCUAGUUUCAAGGCAUUUCGCCCGGCCUCUUGGCGGAUAG